GACAGAGGUGCCAAGCGUUAGGCGGAAUCACUGGGCUUAAAGCGUGUGUAGGCGGACUCGUAAGUACCUUGUGAAAUCCCACGGCUCAACCGUGGAACUGCUUGGUAUACUGCUUGUCUUGAGCCACUUAGGGGCUGUCGGAACAAACGGUGGAGCGGUGAAAUGCGCAGAGAUCAGGAGGAACACCCGUAGCGAAGGCGGCACUCUGGGCCGAUACUGACACUGAGGAGCGAAAGCGUGGGGAGCGAACAGG
rnacentral:rRNA from 1 species